CCUACCCCUACAGUUUGUACUUGUGUGACGGCUGCGUCACAUGUGCAGCAGUAGGUGGCAGAGAGGUGAGAGGCUCUGCCUAUGUUCAGUGUUCUGACUUAUGAACAUCUGAAUGACCAAUAACCUAACAUU
ensembl:snoRNA LOC120097232 small nucleolar RNA SNORA17